rnacentral:lncRNA from 1 species
AUUAAAGAGAUUGGAGCUGAUAUCAGGUGAGGGUUUUGAAUUUUUUUGAUACUCAUAAUUUUAAUUUAACUUUUAUUUGUCAUAACUCUGUUAAAUUUUUUUUAUUAGCCUAAUUGAAAAUUGAUUGUAUAAUUUUUUUGAAUUUCAUGAAUUUGUUAGUUGGUUUUAUGAAUUGUUAUAGAAAUUAAAGAAUUAGGUAUUUGCGGAAAAAAUGUAGUAGAAUUUGAGAUUUUAUGAAUUAUUAUAUUGUCUUUUGUUUCUAUCUAGUUUAGUUAUUCAGAAGUUUAUGGUUUGAGUUACUUGGGGUUGAAUUGUUUGUGUUGAUUUGAUUUUACGUAUAAAAUUAAAUCUAAUACUUGUGCAACGACAAUUAUAAAAACUGAAGGAGAAUCAUAUAUACUUGUUCAGAGCACCCUUCAUACGUACUCCUAUGGCGGUGCAGUCAAUGGAUUCCGAUGAGGAUGGACUGUUGCGUUUGAAAGAUUUCAGCAAGCUUAUUAGAAAACGGAUGGGCAGCGUAUCAGAGAAGGAGGAGCUUAGAGUGGCGUUUGGGAUGUCCCAGCCUAGUCUGCCAUGCAUAUUUAUGUAGGUGGCAUGUCUGUUGACGACGGGAGGGAUAUAUUGAGAUGCAUUUUGCAACGUUGGGGGUAUUUUGAAAAAAAAAUAUAUAAGGUGAAAGUGGAAUAUCGUGAUAAAUGUUAAGAAUAUUUUUGGACAUUUGCCCUAUAAUAAGUACUUCCCCUGUCCUUUAAUAUAAGAUUUUUUAGAGUUGUACACAAAUAUUAAAAAAAUAAUUGUAUAGUAUUAAAUAUAAUAUCAAAUAUUUAUAUUAAUGUUCUUGUAUUGAAAAAG